UACAGAGGUCACAAGCGUUGUUCGGAUUCAUUGGGCGUAAAGGGUGCGUAGGCGGCGCGGUAAGUCGGAUGUGAAAUCUCGGAGCUUAACUUCGAAACUGCAUUCGAUACUGCCGUGCUUGAGGACUGGAGAGGAGACUGGAAUUUACGGUGUAGCGGUGAAAUGCGUAGAUAUCGGGAGGAACACCAGUGGCGAAGGCGACUACCUGGCCUGUUCUUGACGCUGAGGCGCGAAAGCUAGGGGAGCAAACGGG
rnacentral:rRNA from 1 species